rnacentral:rRNA from 1 species
UGGGGAAUAUUGGACAAUGGGGGCAACCCUGAUCCAGCAAUGCCGCGUGUGUGAAGAAGGCCUGCGGGUUGUAAAGCACUUUCAGUAGAGAAGAAAAGCUCAUGGUUAAUACCCGUGAGUCUUGACGUAACCUACAGAAGAAGCACCGGCUAACUCCGUGCCAGCAGCCGCGGUAAUACGGAGGGUGCGAGCGUUAAUCGGAAUUACUGGGCGUAAAGCGCGCGUAGGCGGUUUUGUAAGUCGGAUGUGAAAGCCCAGGGCUUAACCUUGGAAUUGCAUUCGAUACUGCUGAACUAGAGUAUGGUAGAGGGAAGUGGAAUUUCCGGUGUAGCGGUGAAAUGCGUAGAUAUCGGAAGGAACACCAGUGGCGAAGGCGGCCACCUGGACGGGUACUGACGCUGAGAUGCGAAAGCGUGGGGAGCAAACAGGAUUAGAUACCCCUGUAGUCC